AUCAGAAUUUUCAUUUACAAAAACAAGAAGAGAAUGCAGUGGAUAUUUAUGUCAUGUGCGGGAAGGCAACAUCUUCAUCUACUAAGGAGUGUGUUGUAAAUAAAUAUAUUAUUUAUAAAAUUAUUGUAGGUAUCUUGAGAUGCAUGAUUCUCUGCUGUACCAUCCGAAAGACCCACAACUACUUUUCCGAUGACUCAGUCAGCCCACCCCCUCCCCCGAAUUCCAAUCCUAAGUAGAGAAAAUAGGGAGACAGCAAGAAGUGGUGGGCAUUGAAAAAUUGAGAGUUACUCGAGCAGCAAGAAGAGAGAGUGAAAAAAAAUAGAGAGCUAGGAGGGAAAUCCUCGUGAGCAUUGCUGAAACUCAUGACCAGAGAAUAGAGGUAGUGGAGAGAAUGAUGCAGAGGGGAGGAACCUAGGAGGAGGACUAGAGCAGAGUCUAUGAAGAUAAGAAUAGCUAUAGACAAGAAACUUGGCUGAUUUGCAGAGAGGGAAGACGAAAUUCAAAAGGAAUUACCAAGCGAAAGGAUUAGAGUGCUCAGUUGAAGGAGGUAUUAAAGAGGGAGGAGUUGAAGACCUAAGGUUUACUAUUUGGUUGAGGCGAUUCUGAGAUUAGACUCCUUUUUUCGAGGUUGAUUCUGCGGGACAUAACGACGUUACCAAGACCCAACUCCAAAUAUUAAUACGAACCACAUGGGACAAGAUGGUGAGCGAGACAUGCCCUUACCCCACAAAGACAAAGACGGAGUUGGGGGGAAAGGUAAUGAGAAUUAUGGAUAAAUUCCUGAAAGGACCCUCAUUGUAGUGGUAAAGUGUAGCUAAUAGUGAGAGAAUGGAGAGGGAGAGAGAGAGAGAUAGAGAUAGGUGAAGAGUAGAGGAAUAUGGAGAGUAGCAUAGAACCUCUGCCUCCUUCACAAUUUUACCAAAACAUAUACCAAAGCAGCAUCUAAUAGUGAUAGAAUAGGGGGCAAAAAAAUGACUACAUGAGACUGCUCUUUUGCCUUCACACUUUUAAAUAUAGAUGUGUAAGUAGAAAU